ACUGCUCAGUAACACGUGGUCAACCUAACUCGUGGACGUGGAUAACCUCGGGAAACUGAGAAUAAACCACGAUAGAUCAUAGUGCCUGGAAUGGCUUAUGGUCCAAACAGUUUACUGUCAUGGGAUGGGACUGCGGCCUAUCAGCUUGUUGGUGAGGUAAUGGCCCACCAAGGCGAUUACAGGUACGGGCUCUGAGAGGAGAAGUCCGGAGAUGGGUACUGAGACACGGACCCAGGCCCUAUGGGGCGCAGCAGGCGAGAAACCUUAGCAAUGUGCGAAAGCACGAUUGGGUCAGUCCGAGUGAUUCCUGAUAAAGGAGUCUUUUGCUUGUCCUAAAAGCACAGGUGAAUAAGGGGUGGGCAAGUCUGGUGUCAGCCGCCGCGGUAAUACCAGCACCUCGAGUGGUCAGGACGUUUAUCGGGCCUAAAGCAUCCGUAGCCGGCUCUGCAAGUCUUCGGUUAAAUCCACCUGCUCAACAGAUGGGCCGCUGGAGAUACUACAGAGCUAGGGAGUGGGAGAGGCAGACGGUAUUCAGUGGGUAGGGGUAAAAUCCUCUGAUCCAUUGAGGACCACCAGUGGCGAAGGCGGUCUGCCAGAACACGUUCGACGGUGAGGGAUGAAAGCUGGGGGAGCAAACCGGAUUAGAUACCCGGGUAGUCCCAGCUGUAAACGAUGCAAACUCGGUGAUGCAUUGGCUUAUGGCCAAUGCAGUGCCGCAGGGAAGCCGUUAAGUUUGCCGCCUGGGAAGUACGGACGCAAGUCUGAAACUUAAAGGAAUUGGCGGGGGAG
rnacentral:rRNA from 1 species